AAGUCUACAAGAAUACACAGAAAGAAAAACUUGGUAGUCACUUUCACUAGUGAUUUUGGCCGAUUUAGAGUUGGAUUUCGAAGAUGGUGUAGUUGAAGAAAAGAUAGAUUAAGGUAAGAUCUAUCCAUUUUUGUUGGUUUCGUUCGCAUGCAUGAUGUUUUUGUUCUGUUUUAUUAGUUCCUAAGUGUGUAUUGUAUGUUUUUUAGGCAUUAUUUCAGCACUUGGAGGAGUCAUUUGGAGUCAUUGAGAGUUUCAGGUGUAGGAUUUGCGUAGCGAAGUGAACUAUGAAGUUGAAGAUCAAGGUAUGAGCUUUGCAAUACAUGAAUUUUUUUAUGCAUGCACGGUGGUAAUUAGUUAGUCUUUUAGCUCGUCAUUAGCUAUGCGAUAUUAGUGCUUAGAGGUUAGAAAUAAUUUCAGACGACAGAUACAACAUUUAUACAAAUUUUUUUAGAAGAGUAAGUUGAAGAUGUUGUACCAAUGUUAGCUGCGUCCAUUAGUAUUGACAUGCGAGAAGCUCUUAAUACGGUAAUUAAGAAACAAAUUGCACUGUAAUUAUUCAAUGCAUGUGGUAUGUUUAUUAAUAAGUCUAUGGUUAGGAAACCGUAGGUCUACUUUGUUAUGUUGCAAUAAUCUAAAUUUUAUAUGUUAAGAUUAGGUGCUAAUGUACUUAAUGAUGUAUGUAAUUAGGUAAAAUAAUUCAUCUUAGUAGCAAACAAGGAGGAGAUGAUGUGAUUGAAGAAAUUGUGUUUUCAUCUUCGUUGUCCCUUUUGAGGUGAUGACCACAUACAUGCAAGUGCUAUUUUCAUACUUUUGGUAGCAGAAAGAAAUAUCCGUGUGUAAUAUUGAUGUUCAUGUGAUAAUAGGUUGACUCCGUUCAUAUAGUACUGGUGACGGAUAUUUAUUUGAACUAUUUUGACGCUUAAUUGCAUUUGCAAGCAUAUCCAUAUUGGAGCUAAGGUAUAAAAUGACGCCGUAAUUUUGUUAAUAUUUUUUAUAUUGAUGUAAUGUUGUGAAUAAUGUGCAUGCCGCUGUAAAUAUUAUUAUUUGUAAAUAAAUGAUUGUUAUCGUAUGACAUGACAAAAUUAUAUAAAGCCGGAAGAAAAUAAAUAUUUUAUUCAUAUGAUAUUAAAAUGUUAUUAUCGUACUAUUAUGUUUAGUGGUUGUUUGGAUAGCGAGUAAUUACCCUCGAUUUUGUCAUAACCUGUUGUAAGGAAAUUUUGUAGAAAACCAGUUUUUACUAAUAGUCGUUUUUCCGAAAGCUCGAUUUUUUUUGCAUGUUACGAGAACCAGUUUAGGAUAUAUUUGGGGUAGUAAAAGAAAAGCAAACAUAGUUUUAGUUUGUGACACUCGUAGACGAGUUUGAGAAAAAAUAGAUCUCUAAAUACCCGUUAACCAAACAACCCUGAAAAGUCUAAGCAAAUGAUUCUAAAAACAAAUCGAAUAUUUGUAACAAAAAUACAGUUAUUAUUUUAGUCUUAUGAUAUGUAAAUGUUUUCAUCGUACUAGUACUAAAUGUUCAGUUACUAAUUGUUUGAAAUGUAAACAUGUAUAUUGGUUAGGUACUAUGAAAAAAUUAGCAGUGUACUAUAGAAAUGUCUUACGUGGCGGUCCUUUCGGGUUGGAUGUGUCCUUGUGCUAGUCGACUACAGUUGUAGUGAGAGACAUGGUCAACAUGGGUUACACAGCAGUUAAAAGGUGCAUCUUAGCGGUGUUUGGCCCAGGGAUGCAGGAAAAAAAUAACAAUGAAGGCCUUCAUCGUUGACGGAGGAAAUGAUGAGACAAUUGCCUGUUGGGGUUUGCGGCCUGUCACAGGUGAUCGGUCGUGGGGGUCGUACAUGAGAUUUGCAAGCAUCCCAAUAACUCAAUGUAUGGUCAGCCGAUGGUGUAUGUGGAGUUUAUUUCAGUCACUGAUGUUGCCGGAUGCAGUAACAGGGGUGGUGAGGUCGAGUUGGCCAUCACAUCAGCCCCUAGUGUCGGCCCAUCGGAACCGACAUGCGGCCAACCUGUGUAUCACACUGGAUAUUGGUAUGCGGCCGUUGACAUGAGCGAACACGUGGAGGAAUUGCCGGAGGCGCUAGAUGAUGAUGAUCAUUCUUCUGCUUCUUCGGAGUCAAGCGAAAGAUGUUCCUCCUCAAAGGGCGGUCACAGCGGCAUUGCAACCUAGGUUUUUACAGGAUAUGAACAUCACCAAUGAAUUUCACUCUGCUUCUGGCCUAGGUUUUUACAGGAUAUAAGCAUCACCAAUGAAUUUCACUCUGCUUCUGGCCUAGGACGGGAAUCAGCGCCGUCUGCGUUGUUGUCGCGCGUGCAGCAACAGACGGAUGCCGCCUGCUGCGGUGGUGGCCUGGCCCACAGGCUGGGCCCGCGAGCAGCACGGCCUGUCGGCCUACGAG
rnacentral:lncRNA from 1 species